UCACAGACCCUUCAUCCCUGCCUGACCCUGAUCUCGGGCGCCUGCACCCCGCAACUCCGCUUGGAGUCCACGCAGACACUGCGCCCGCGCCAAGGGGGUACCAAGGUGCACCAUCACAGAGCUACACCCUGAUGCCAGCUACCGCCCUCUUUGACCUGGAUUUCUACAAUAGCCUCCUUCCUGGUACCCCCGCUGCCACCCUUGACCCCCUGCAGUCGAUUCUCUACUGUCAGAGCUAACCUUUGAAAACAAAGCAUCAUCUCUGUCAUUCACCAUGAGGCUGAUUUUCCCCAGACAGUGUCAGUGUAACCUUAGCAGCUACCAUAACUGAGUGUUUAGUAUGUGCCGGGCACUGUUUUGUAUGCUUCCAAUGCAGAGACAUUACUUUGCCAAGAAAGGUCUGUCUAGUCAAGGCUAUGGUUUUUCCAGUGGUCAUGUGUGGAUGUGAGAGUUGGACUGUGAAGAAAGCUGAACGCCGAAGAAUUGAUGCUUUUGAACUGUGGUGUUGGAGAAGACUCUUGAGAGUCCCUUGGACUGCAAGAAGAUCCAACCAGUCCAUUCUAAAGGAGAUCAGCCCUGGGUGUUCAUUGGAAGGAAUGAUGCUAAAGCUGAAACUCCAGUACUUUGGCCACCUCAUGUGAAGAGUUGACUCAUUGGAAAAGACUCUGAUGCUGGGAGGGAUUGGGGGCAGGAGGAGAAGGAGAUGACAGAGGAUGAGAUGGCUGGAUGGCAUCACUGACUCAAUGGACGUGAGUCUCAGUGAACUCUGGGAGAUGGUGAUGGACAGGGAGACCUGGCAUGCUGCGAUUCAUGGGAUCGCAAAGAGUCAGACACAACUGAAUGACUGAACUGAACUGAACUGGACUGAAUGCUCUUCAUGGUGACUUUGUGAGGCAGGCAUUUUGAUAUCAUCAUUCUCAGAAGAGGAACUGGAAAGAAAUGACUUCCUUACAGUCAGUCCCACAGUUGCUAUAUGAGGGGUGUGUGUUUCAAAUUAAGAUCUAGCUGAUUCCAAAGCCCAAGCUCAUAGAGC
ensembl:lncRNA